rnacentral:misc_RNA from 1 species
UAGAGUUCCUGCCCUAUAACGGGUAGAAACCCCCUCACCCUUUGUAUAUUGUAUGCUUGUUGCUUUGGUGGGCCGUUUACGGGCUCUUCCGUUACCGGCUUAGGCUGGGUUGCGCCCGCCAGAGGACCCUCAAACUCUUGUUUUUAGUGUAGUCUGAGUACUUUCGAAUAGUUA